UACGUAGGGUGCGAGCGUUGUCCGGAAUUAUUGGGCGUAAAGAGCUCGUAGGCGGUUUGUCGCGUCUGCUGUGAAAUCCCGAGGCUCAACCUCGGGUCUGCAGUGGGUACGGGCAGACUAGAGUGUGGUAGGGGAGAUUGGAAUUCCUGGUGUAGCGGUGGAAUGCGCAGAUAUCAGGAGGAACACCGAUGGCGAAGGCAGAUCUCUGGGCCAUUACUGACGCUGAGGAGCGAAAGCAUGGGGAGCGAACAGG
rnacentral:rRNA from 1 species